GGUUAAGCGACUAAGCGUACACGGUGGAUGCCCUGGCAGUCAGAGGCGAUGAAGGACGUGCUAAUCUGCGAUAAGCGUCGGUAAGGUGAUAUGAACCGUUAUAACCGGCGAUUUCCGAAUGGGGAAACCCAGUGUGUUUCGACACACUAUCAUUAACUGAAUCCAUAGGUUAAUGAGGCGAACCGGGGGAACUGAAACAUCUAAGUACCCCGAGGAAAAGAAAUCAACCGAGAUUCCCCCAGUAGCGGCGAGCGAACGGGGAGCAGCCCAGAGCCUGAAUCAGUGUGUGUGUUAGUGGAAGCGUCUGGAAAGGCGCGCGAUACAGGGUGACAGCCCCGUACACAAAAAUGCACAUGCUGUGAGCUCGAUGAGUAGGGCGGGACACGUGGUAUCCUGUCUGAAUAUGGGGGGACCAUCCUCCAAGGCUAAAUACUCCUGACUGACCGAUAGUGAACCAGUACCGUGAGGGAAAGGCGAAAAGAACCCCGGCGAGGGGAGUGAAAAAGAACCUGAAACCGUGUACGUACAAGCAGUGGGAGCACGCUUCGGCGUGUGACUGCGUACCUUUUGUAUAAUGGGUCAGCGACUUAUAUUCUGUAGCAAGGUUAACCGAAUAGGGGAGCCGAAGGGAAACCGAGUCUUAACUGGGCGUUAAGUUGCAGGGUAUAGACCCGAAACCCGGUGAUCUAGCCAUGGGCAGGUUGAAGGUUGGGUAACACUAACUGGAGGACCGAACCGACUAAUGUUGAAAAAUUAGCGGAUGACUUGUGGCUGGGGGUGAAAGGCCAAUCAAACCGGGAGAUAGCUGGUUCUCCCCGAAAGCUAUUUAGGUAGCGCCUCGUGAAUUCAUCUCCGGGGGUAGAGCACUGUUUCGGCAAGGGGGUCAUCCCGACUUACCAACCCGAUGCAAACUGCGAAUACCGGAGAAUGUUAUCACGGGAGACACACGGCGGGUGCUAACGUCCGUCGUGAAGAGGGAAACAACCCAGACCGCCAGCUAAGGUCCCAAAGUCAUGGUUAAGUGGGAAACGAUGUGGGAAGGCCCAGACAGCCAGGAUGUUGGCUUAGAAGCAGCCAUCAUUUAAAGAAAGCGUAAUAGCUCACUGGUCGAGUCGGCCUGCGCGGAAGAUGUAACGGGGCUAAACCAUGCACCGAAGCUGCGGCAGCGACGCUUAUGCGUUGUUGGGUAGGGGAGCGUUCUGUAAGCCUGUGAAGGUGUGCUGUGAGGCAUGCUGGAGGUAUCAGAAGUGCGAAUGCUGACAUAAGUAACGAUAAAGCGGGUGAAAAGCCCGCUCGCCGGAAGACCAAGGGUUCCUGUCCAACGUUAAUCGGGGCAGGGUGAGUCGACCCCUAAGGCGAGGCCGAAAGGCGUAGUCGAUGGGAAACAGGUUAAUAUUCCUGUACUUGGUGUUACUGCGAAGGGGGGACGGAGAAGGCUAUGUUGGCCGGGCGACGGUUGUCCCGGUUUAAGCGUGUAGGCUGGUUUUCCAGGCAAAUCCGGAAAAUCAAGGCUGAGGCGUGAUGACGAGGCACUACGGUGCUGAAGCAACAAAUGCCCUGCUUCCAGGAAAAGCCUCUAAGCAUCAGGUAACAUCAAAUCGUACCCCAAACCGACACAGGUGGUCAGGUAGAGAAUACCAAGGCGCUUGAGAGAACUCGGGUGAAGGAACUAGGCAAAAUGGUGCCGUAACUUCGGGAGAAGGCACGCUGAUAUGUAGGUGAGGUCCCUCGCGGAUGGAGCUGAAAUCAGUCGAAGAUACCAGCUGGCUGCAACUGUUUAUUAAAAACACAGCACUGUGCAAACACGAAAGUGGACGUAUACGGUGUGACGCCUGCCCGGUGCCGGAAGGUUAAUUGAUGGGGUUAGCGGUAACGCGAAGCUCUUGAUCGAAGCCCCGGUAAACGGCGGCCGUAACUAUAACGGUCCUAAGGUAGCGAAAUUCCUUGUCGGGUAAGUUCCGACCUGCACGAAUGGCGUAAUGAUGGCCAGGCUGUCUCCACCCGAGACUCAGUGAAAUUGAACUCGCUGUGAAGAUGCAGUGUACCCGCGGCAAGACGGAAAGACCCCGUGAACCUUUACUAUAGCUUGACACUGAACAUUGAGCCUUGAUGUGUAGGAUAGGUGGGAGGCUUUGAAGUGUGGACGCCAGUCUGCAUGGAGCCGACCUUGAAAUACCACCCUUUAAUGUUUGAUGUUCUAACGUUGACCCGUAAUCCGGGUUGCGGACAGUGUCUGGUGGGUAGUUUGACUGGGGCGGUCUCCUCCUAAAGAGUAACGGAGGAGCACGAAGGUUGGCUAAUCCUGGUCGGACAUCAGGAGGUUAGUGCAAUGGCAUAAGCCAGCUUGACUGCGAGCGUGACGGCGCGAGCAGGUGCGAAAGCAGGUCAUAGUGAUCCGGUGGUUCUGAAUGGAAGGGCCAUCGCUCAACGGAUAAAAGGUACUCCGGGGAUAACAGGCUGAUACCGCCCAAGAGUUCAUAUCGACGGCGGUGUUUGGCACCUCGAUGUCGGCUCAUCACAUCCUGGGGCUGAAGUAGGUCCCAAGGGUAUGGCUGUUCGCCAUUUAAAGUGGUACGCGAGCUGGGUUUAGAACGUCGUGAGACAGUUCGGUCCCUAUCUGCCGUGGGCGCUGGAGAACUGAGGGGGGCUGCUCCUAGUACGAGAGGACCGGAGUGGACGCAUCACUGGUGUUCGGGUUGUCAUGCCAAUGGCACUGCCCGGUAGCUAAAUGCGGAAGAGAUAAGUGCUGAAAGCAUCUAAGCACGAAACUUGCCCCGAGAUGAGUUCUCCCUGACUCCUUGAGAGUCCUGAAGGAACGUUGAAGACGACGACGUUGAUAGGCCGGGUGUGUAAGCGCAGCGAUGCGUUGAGCUAACCGGUACUAAUGAACCGUGAGGCUUAACCUUACAACGCCGAAG
rnacentral:rRNA from 1 species